rnacentral:rRNA from 1 species
UACAGAGGGGGCAAGCGUUGUUCGGAAUUACUGGGCGUAAAGGGCGCGUAGGCGGCCUUCUAAGUCGAACGUGAAAUCCCUGGCUCAACCCAGGAACUGCGUCCGAUACUGAAAGGCUUGAAUCCGGGAGAGGGAUGCGGAAUUCCAGGUGUAGCGGUGAAAUGCGUAGAUAUCUGGAGGAACACCGGUGGCGAAGGCGGCAUCCUGGACCGGUAUUGACGCUGAGGCGCGAAAGCCAGGGGAGCAAACGGGG